rnacentral:rRNA from 1 species
CAGUAGCCGCGGUAAUACGAAGGGUGCAAGCGUUACUCGGAAUUACUGGGCGUAAAGCGUGCGUAGGUGGUGGUUAAGUCCGUUGUGAAAGCCCUGGGCUCAACCUGGGAAUUGCAGUGGAUACUGGGUCACUAGAGUGUGGUAGAGGAUAGUGGAAUUUCCGGUGUAGCAGUGAAAUGCGUAGAGAUCGGAAGGAACAUCUGUGGCGAAGGCGACUAUCUGGGCCAACACUGACACUGAGGCACGAAAGCGUGGGGAGCAAACAGGAUUAGAUACCCCAGUAGUCCCUGUCUCUUAUACC